AGGGAGGCAAAGCCGCGAGGCAGAGCAAACCCCUAAAAAGCCAUCCCAGUUCGGAUUGCAGGCUGCAACCCGCCUGUAUGAAGUUGGAAUCGCUAGUAAUCGCGGAUCAGCAUGCCGCGGUGAAUACGUUCCCGGGCCUUGUACACACCGCCCGUCACACCAUGAGAGUCGGGAACACCCGAAGUCCGUAGCCUAACCGCAAGGAGGGCGCGGCCGAAGGUGGGUUCGAUAAUUGGGGUGAAGUCGUAACAAGGUAGC
rnacentral:rRNA from 1 species